AUUGAACGCUGGCGGAAUGCUUUACACAUGCAAGUCGAACGGCAGCACGGGGGCAACCCUGGUGGCGAGUGGCGAACGGGUGAGUAAUACAUCGGAACGUGCCCGGUCGUGGGGGAUAACGUAGCGAAAGUUACGCUAAUACCGCAUACGAUCUGAGGAUGAAAGCGGGGGACCUUCGGGCCUCGCGCGAUCGGAGCGGCCGAUGUCAGAUUAGGUAGUUGGUGGGGUAAAGGCCUACCAAGCCGACGAUCUGUAGCUGGUCUGAGAGGACGACCAGCCACACUGGGACGGAGACACGGCCCAGACUCCUACGGGAGGCAGCAGUGGGGAAUUUUGGACAAUGGGCGCAAGCCUGAUCCAGCCAUUCCGCGUGCAGGACGAAGGCCUUCGGGUUGUAAACUGCUUUUGUAUGGAACGAAAAGGCUCUGGCUAAUACCUGGGGCUCAUGACGGUACCGUAAGAAUAAGCACCGGCUAACUACGUG
rnacentral:rRNA from 1 species